AACUCUUCAUCACAUAGCGUUUGGUGUUUCAAUUCCUCAUAUACGUUUCAUCACACAUUCUUCACAUAUCCUGCGUUCCAUCUACCAAUUUAGUGGCCAAAGUGGCCACCAAUUUAGUGAAAAAACAUUCGGUAUCACAAACAUUCAGUAUUCACUUACAAUCUCAAACGUUGAAUUUGUCCCACUUGUAGGGAAGAUUAGAGACGGCGAAUUUGAUGACAACGCUAAUUUCUUUCCUAUUUCUCUCUUUACAAACACAUCGUCGAUGGAGGUUAUCAGUGGUUUUUUGAUGGAUUUGCAGUUAGAUUGAUAUUUAGGAAAAGGAAACCUAACAAUGACUCCAGAAAAAUCGCCUGGCAUCUUCAUCUUAAUGCGAUUUUUUGGAAAUUAGGGAUUUUUAAUUUGAAGAACAAGGAUUUUAUUGCAGAAGGAUAAACGAAGAGGAAUGCCCCAUGAUAAUUCAGCCCUAUUAAGAUUCAGAUUUUUGUAAGGACACUUAAGGCUAUUAGUUUUGGGCCAUUUAUUUAUGCUAUUGAAGCGUAUUAGUAUGAGGUUUUGUAUUUUUGUUCCACUCAAGAUCCCAUUCCUCUUUGUACCACCACCAAUCCCUAUCUUACAUCAACUUCUCAUGUGGAUUAACGGUUCUAAUUUACCCUGCAUCAUUCCAGACAGUAGAUCACUGUCUGAUGAUAAAAAAAAAUCACUGCUCGAGCUAGACAAAAAAUUAUUAUUAAUGGUUGUUAUAACACUGAUGACAUUUACGUUAAAUUGGAACCCCCAGUUCAGAAAUAAUUAAGCAAAAAGAUAGAUUUUUUUCCCUUAAGUUAUUGUAGAAAUUGGGAAUAUUUUACUAGCAAGACCUUCCAUCUGAAGAAAUUUAGUAAUGUGGAGAAAAAAGAUGUGACCAAGUAAUUUCAAUUGCCUGGAAAAUUACUCAAGUUUCAUGAUUUUAUUUCAGUAAAAAACAAGGUGAAUGCUAUCCGAUCUUGGUGGGUUUCUUUUUGUUUUGAGUGGAAAAUUACUCAAGUUUCUUGUUAUUGUUUGUCGGCUAUGGUUUUUUGCAGUUUAUCUUUAGAAACAUUCAGGGUUUGGAAUAUAUUUCUUGCCAAUAUCAUUCUCUUAUGCAUUAAAGGAUGUUCUCCUAAUUGCAAGAACGCUAAAUGAUUAUGUAUUUCUUGCCUAUUAAUUUCAUGUGUUUACUGAUGUAAGUUAGUGUAUGUUUUUUUUACUUAAUAUAAAAGGAAAUUGGCCCUUAUAUAUUUAGUUGCAAAAAAGUUAAUACAUCUUUUGUAAUCAAUUGGAUGUAUCAUGGGCUUGCCUUGUUUACAUUUUAGUUAAGUCAUGUUUUACUAUUGAAGGAGAUUGUAUCAUUGUUUUAAUCACUAUUUUUUAACAAAAACAACCCCAACCGUUUAUUUAUGGCACUUUGCACCCAUAUGUCAUAUGUGCUGGUAUUAAUCGUUGAAAAGCACUUUAUGCUAAAAUUUAUGGCAACAUCCAAAAGACAUUAUAAAAUAUGUAGGAAAUUGUCAUUUAAAUAGGUUUUAAUCAGGGGCGGUUUGACUAUGGUCUCUAUAGUGGCAUCGGCAACCCCCGACUUUUUCGGACGUAGUGUAAAAAUGUUCGAAAUUUUUGUCCUCCUAGCAUGACACUACUAAAAUUUCCCGUGACACCCCUACCAUGAAAUCCUGCCCUUGGUUCUAAUUACAUUUUUCUCUUAUGUGUUGUUAUGUAUUGAUUUAAUUAUACAUAACCUAUGUAUCAUUAUCACUUUUGUUUUAAUAAAAAGCCAUGGAUUCUAUCAUGUCGGUCCCCGCUCUCGAAAAUUAUCACCGAAAGGCUCGAAGGUAAGUAUGCAACUGAAUUCUUGUUUUUCCUCUAAAUAAUGUUUUUUGAUGCCUAAUUUCACAGUGGUUUUGUUUCGUUUUUUUUAGUUUUUUUAUUAUCAUUUUUUGUGAUUUUCUCUAAAUUUAAUAUAUAUGCAUGGCAGGUGAUAAAUCCAAGUUGGGUAUUUUGAGUGGUUUCCAAUAUGCAGAAGAUAGGCUUUAUUUGUUUGAAACUUAUAUAUAUUUACAAACAAGAACAAUUUUAUGAAGCAAUUGAAGGUUGCAUCUCUGUUUUCCAUGUUGAUCCCAUUGUUACACACUACUGUCUAUAAAGUAUCACAUUCUAGAAUUCAUGACCAAUAACCAAGAUUCUCAAAACCCAGAAAAAUUAAUCUUGUAGUCUGAUUAUGGUUGUUGGUAAUGAUAAAAUGGUGCAUCUUUUUAGUACAAAGACAAUUUCGUGGCACCAAUUAGUGCAACAAAGAGUAUUUCAGAUGUCUGCAUAUGAUCAAGGAUGGUGAAGUAGCUCAUUUUAAAUCUGUAUAUACAGCUGCACCAUUGAAAGUUCCACUUCAUUUCUUAUUCAUACAUUGUACAUAGAAAAUCCACCUAUUUAUACCGUUGUACUUUCAA